rnacentral:lncRNA from 1 species
ACCAACCACACCUCAAACAAACUUGACGGCAAAGUAGCCAUCAUCACUGGUGGCGCGAGCGGCAUUGGCGAGGAGGCGGCGCGUCAGUUGACAAAUCAUGGCGCAUAUGUCGUGAUUGCAGACAUCCAAGACAAAAAGGGCCACGACCUUGUGUUGUCGAUUGGAUCCCACCGGUGCAUUUACAUCCAUUGCGAUGUCACGGAUGAGCAUCAGGUGAAGUCCUUGGUGGAAUCAACUCUUCAAUCAAAUGGCCACCUAGACAUCUUGUUCAGCAAUGCAGGCAUAAUGAAUAACAUCAAACAAGACAUUCUGGAGUUCGACAUACCUGCUUUCGAGAGCCUGUUUGCCAUCAAUGUUCGGGGAGUGGCCGCCUGUGUCAAGCACGGGGCUCGCGCCAUGGUGGCGGGGGGCAUAAAGGGAAGCAUAAUUUGCACGGCGAGCAUCGCAGCCAGCAAUGGAAACGAGAAUCGGGUAGACUAUGUGAUGUCUAAGCAUGCCGUGCUGGGUUUGGUGAGGUCGGCAAGUAAGCAACUUGGAGCAUACGGGAUACGCGUGAACUGUGUCUCCCCUGGACCGGUCGCAACACCAUUAGUCCGUGGAGUGUACGGCGUGAGUGAGGAGGAAGGCGAGAGGAUGUUUGAGUCAAGUUCAAGCUUGAAAGGAGUGCUGAAAGCGAAGCAUGUGGCUGAUGCCGUGGUGUUCCUUGCUUCUGAAGAGGCCGAAUUCAUCAACGGCCACAAUCUGGCGGUCGAUGGUGGAUGGGCCGGAAUUAGAUAGGCUAUUCUGAGGAGACUAGAAAUAAAAGUCGCAAACUCUUAACUCACCUGGGCUUGGUUUGCCGCUGUAGCAAUAUAAAUCCGGAGAAAUAAUGAAAUCGAGCUGAUGCUAUCUUGUUUGUGAAAGGAAUACUUUGCCUUGAUUUUUAAAUUCGGCGACUCGGUUGGUGAUUUGAUUAAAAGGUAUGCGUUGACGCUUGUUGAAUUCAACCAAAGGAAUAGCCAAAAGUCCUGCUAUGCCAAGAGGCAAUGAAAUCCUAAUCAUUUUUAACUCUAUUUUGUUUUGUUGGACUUGGCGGUCCUCGUCCGUCCUCAUUCCUCACCAGACCCGAUCAAUCUUUAUUUUUAUUUUUAUUUUAUAUUAGUUGUAAACGACUAUUCAUUAGGAAUGCUAAAUAAUUUAUAGUGCAGUCGAUCUAACACAUCUUUGAAAGGUCAAAUACAUAUCAUUCUUGGUUUAGUUACACAACGAGACUCCUUAUGAUUUUUGAUGGUAUUGGUUUUUCCCUCAUGGUGGUUCGUCACACGAGCUACCGCUCACUAGUCCGACCAAUGAGCCACAGCGCUGCCCCUCCGGCUCCACCGCCGUCGAGUCGCUGCCCCCUCCCAAGUACUCUUUUUCUCUCCCUCUGAAUCAUGACUGAACCCUUGUGCGACAAACCACCAUGCAGCCUCCGCUUCUGUUAUCGCGAAGUUCAUUGGCUGGCCACGGUGGUUCGUCAGUUGGACAAGGAAUUGGGCGAAGAGAGAGAGUCGGGUGAGACAAAGCAUGAGAGGAGAGAGAGGAGAGAGGAGAGAGAGUGUGAAGGGGAAGCAAAAGAGAGAAAAGCGCGUAGAGAAAAGAGAGAGGGAAAAAGGAGAUGAGCUUAUUGUCCGGGGAUUUUAUUUGCUUCCGCAUGCAUAUUAAAAUGAAAUGAUUGGCGAUACGUCCUGAGAUGUCGCUAUUUAAUCGACCAAGGUGAAGGAUGGGUGCGUGCCCGAGGAUCGGGGUGUGACAGGUUGAGCCUCACUAGAUUAGGCGAGAUCGAGCUCACCUGACGCCGGCGAGCUCAAGCCUCAAAAGAUUCAACCACCUAGGUGAGGCUCGAGCCUCAUCGGAGGUCCCUAGAACCUUGCCAAUGCCUGGCAACAUCGGGUGGGGCUUAGUCUCACCCAAGUGGUCGGAUCUAGCUAGGCACGAGUUCAUUUGAGGCCAAUCAAGGCGAGGUUGAGCCUUGCCGGGCUUGGGCCUCACCAUAGGCCAGCAACGCUCAACCUCAUUGGAAUCUAGAUAGCUUGAGCCUUGCUAGCUUGUGGCGAGUCUCUAGCUCGCCUAUGGCUGGAAUAAAAAUAAUUAAAAAAAUCAAUUUUUUUAGAAAAUAAAUAAAUGAAAAAAUAAAAGGAAAAUGUUUUCAAAAGUGAGGUGAAAGAAGGUAUGGAAAAUGUUUUCCUCUUUUUCAAAAGUGGAAAACAUUUUAUCCAAUCUCAGAUGAUUUUUUUCCCUUCAUGGAAAAUGUUUUCCCUAGCUAAUUCAUUUAUUGUGAAACGAACGUCGAAAAAUUUGAAGAAGUUUUCCUGGAAGUUAUUUUCCGUAAAAUGAUUGGGGGAGUCUAAAAUUCUCAUAAAGCCCUGACCAUGCUCAUUGAAAUUUGCCCAUUGAUCACCUCUAUACCUAUCCUCCUCCUUGACCUCAGGCUCUUUGCAGGGGCCAUUCCCUACACUGAAAAUGAGAUCGCGUCAACAAUCACUUACUUGUUGGCGAGUCAAUUCUUAUUUUUUUAGAUUAGUUACAAAUCAAUCACAAAAGAUGCGAAGUAAGAUAAAUUACUUGUAGCGCAGGAGAUCUUACAUAUCUUUGAAAAGACAAUGAAACAUCUUGGGUCACAACGAAACAUCAUAUGAUUUUUUAUGGUAUUUGUCUUUCCCUCCUCGCAAUAAUCAAAAGUCCAAGGAGAAAAAUGAGUGGAGGCAGUUUGUGCAGUCUUGCAUGAAUGGAAUAAGCGCUCUCGUCCAAAAGCCCGCCUCUUCGUCGCCAAACGCAGCAUCCCGUCUGUGUCCGAUUGCCACCACAUAAUUGAGCUUCAGCGAUUGGGUUAAAGCAGGGAAGAGAGAGAUAGAGAAAAGACGACCGAACAUAAGGAUCCGACUGACACAGGGAUCAGACCCAAAUCCACAAGCCAAAGCAUGGGCAUCAACGCCUCUACCGAGCCUCAAAGCCGACAAACUGUUCUCACAAAAAAGCAACUAUUUUGAUUUUUUUUUUUUUAUAGGAGGAACCAGCUUGCAGCCGAUAGCCGCGUCGUAAACUUCCAGGGCUUCGAACUCCUCACCUCUCUCGCAAAGGAUCACUGAAGCCUCCCCUUCUGAGCCACCACGGCCGGUGGUACUAUUUUGAUGUUGAUAUGUAGUAUGCACUCAAAAUGAUCCGUAACCUGAGUGAAACUAACAUAGACCUGAUUUGUCCAUUUCAUUGAACUUGUGGAGAUCAAUUUCAUGAAGGUGCUCAUGUAAUUAGAGUGAGGAGGGAUUAAAAUCUAGAUUAUCGCCAUAGAGGUUAACAUAUUGAGAAUUAACGAAGUAACAUCAAACUUGAUCAGAUUUUCCUCAAACAGAAACGAGAUCUACAAGAAUUUGUUCUAAAUCAAAGUGAACAGAGAGAAAUAAUUUGGAUCUCACCUUGACAACGUGAUUAAAAGAUGCGAACUGAGAGGGAACCCACAAUAGGAAGUUCCGGAGGACUAGUCCUUAGUGAAUGGGCCAAUGAAGAGGUCUCGAGCGAAGUCUAAGCUAUUCGUACUCUCCCGGUCGGAAAACAGUGCACAGUAGAACUUGGUUGUGCAAUGGUAGAAGUGACUGAGUGAUCAGCAACGUGUAGACUCUAGAUUUGAAGGAGACAAACACCGCGAUGAAAGCCAAGGAGUCACUCUUGGCGGAAGGAAUAUUCUUUCCAUUCGCUCAAGCCUCACCAUAAUAUUGCAGAUGAAAUGUCUAUUUUAGGGUUACAUGGGUUCCUGGUUUGGUUCUUGGUCCAGCCUCAGUCCGACUCUCAAUCUGGUUUUUGGUUCCGGAUCCUGCUGAUUCGGUUUCCAUCCAGGAAUUGGGAAUUAAACCACAUAGUGCAUGUUCCCAAAAUUAUGGAAUGGGGAACCUAACCGAUUUCCGCCAAAUCGGUUCCCACGACCAAUUCAUGAUUCUACUCGAGAACCAUGUGCUCUUGUAAUACGAGAAAUUGUUGUUUCUGGAGACAAGAAAGACCAAUCGACUCAAAGAUGAUUUGGAAAUUGUGAAGUACCUUCUCAAGAACAUGAAGCCUACAUGGGUCUUUUUUCUCCAAAGAUCUAUGACUUUCUAUUUAUCAUCCAUGUUCGCAUAUGCGUGUGUACAAACAAUUGAUAUUUAAAUAAAAAAGUAAUUUAAAUCAUUUUGUUACAAAAUGUUUGAAUGAUUAAAUAAUGCAAAAAAUAAUAUUGAUAAAAAUACAAGUUAAGAACAAUGUGUAUGAAUAUUUAUGAAAAGAGGAAAAGAAAGCUUUAACUUGUGUAACAGUUAACUAACCAGAUAUAUUCAAUCCCCUUAUUCCACCAGGACCAAAAGCACGAGUAGAGAAAAACACAAGAUCUAGAUAGAGAAGCCUUAAACAACACUUAUCCUAAAAAAGAGGAAAUUUACUGGGAUAUCCAGUAGGAGAACAUGACUUGGAAGGAGAAUCUCAAGCUGCCCUUUCGCUUUUGAGCAUGGAUCCAAAGGGGCAUAAAAAAGUGUAGGGAAAUUGUUUCUCGGAUCAUUGUUAUCCAAAGGAGUUGAUGAAAAUGCGUUCGUCUUUGAGCCAAUUAAGUUUCAGCCAUGAAAAUUUGCUCCUUUAGUAACUUUCAACUGAAUUCGUUGACUAUUUGCAUUUCACUGACACAAGAUGCAAUAUUAAUUGAAUCUGGAAAUUAUGCAAUUAAUUUCUACCUUGUGAGGAAAAUUAAAGGACCAAAUUUGGCUUCUGCAAAAGGUAUGGUCUAAGUAGCACAAACACGUGACACGACACAACACGAUACGCCGACACAUCAUUUCUCAAAAAUAAAAAAUUCCGAUACGUUAGGACACGUUGUUAUUAAAUAAAUAUUUUUAUUUUUAAUUCAUUUGAAUAAAUAAAUAAAGAGUUUACAAUGAAUUUAUACUAAUAAUAUUAAUAUAUCUAUUCAUAAAAAAUUUGAAAAGCAUAUUCAAUAGUUAAUGCGUAACCAUAUUUAGGAACAUAUUUUUUAACUUUAAUAAAAAUUAUGAAUAAGACUAAUGACUAACAAAAAAAUAAAAUCAACUUUAUUUAAAUAAAUCUAUAAUAUUUUAUAAUCAUCAAAAUUUAUUAUUAUUUAAUAUUCAAUAUUUUUAUUUUUCGAAAUAAUUUUUUAACUCAUUUACUUAUUUUUAUAACAAAAAUAACUUUACUGCUCAAAAUUAUUUUCCUCUCUUUUUAUUCUAAACUCUAGUCUCCAAAAAAUUAUUUCCCUCCCCGUUUCUCUCUCCCCUAUCCCCCACGAAACCCCAAAAUCUUUCCUCGAUUUUUUCCCUGCUCUCUCUCUCUCUCUCUCCCUCUCCCCCAUUUCUCUCUCUCCUAUCCCCCACGCCACCCCAAAAUCUUUCAUUGAUUUCUUCCCUACUCUCUCUCUCUCUCUCUCUCUCUUCCUCCCCCACGACAGCACCUCACGCCACCUCAAGAUCUUGCCCUUGAUUUCUUCCGUGCUCUCUCUGCCUCCCCCUCCCCCUCGACGGCACCUGCUCCCCCUGCUACCUGCCCCCAUCAAUCAUUCCCAACCCCCGCCCCCAUCAAUCGCCUCGCCUCCACCCUCCAUCAUCAUCCUUUCUCUCGGACACACGCGUUGGAGCGUGUCGAGAUAAAGGUUGACCGCAUGGGGGGAAAUCCGACUUGUGUUGAUUACGAGUCCGAGCACGUCGGAGCGUGUCUGUUGGACACGACACAGAAGCUCCGGCAACGUGUCGGUGCUUCUUAACUCAUCCUCACACCAACACCCAUAUGCUGCGAACUGUAUGUCUUAUUGAGAUUAAUGUGACAAGGAUUCAGCGAGCUUUUAAUGUAACAAGCCUAAAUUGAUUAAAGAGUCCAUAUCAAUUUGAUUGUAAUAGCCUACCAAUAACUUGCCAAUUUUGUCCAGAUCCGAACCUCGGGUAUGAUCGUAAUAUUUAACAGAAAAUCAACACCGAACAUUCAAUCUAAACAUAAUUGUGCUUUGUCUUUCCUCAAGUUCUAUAUACGAAGAAGCUCCGCAUCUCCCUCAGCACAACUUCAUGGUCCUUUCCUGUACUCGGUUUUCCAUUCUCUCCCUACAGAAAUGACCAGCCACGCCUCAAACAAACUUGACGGCAAAGUAGCCAUCAUCACUGGUGGCGCGAGCGGCAUCGGCGAGGAGGCGGCGCGUCAGUUGACAAAUCAUGGCGCAUAUGUCGUGAUUGCAGACAUCCAAGACAAAAAGGGCCACGACCUUGUGUUGUCGAUUGGAUCCCACCGGUGCAUUUACAUCCAUUGCGAUGUCACGGAUGAGCAUCAGGUGAAGUCCUUGGUGGAAUCAACUCUUCAAUCAAAUGGCCAUCUAGACAUCUUGUUCAGCAAUGCAGGCAUAAUGAAUAACAUCAAACAAGACAUUCUGGAGUUCGACAUACCUGCUUUCGAGAGCCUGUUUGCCGUCAAUGUUCGGGGAAUGGCCGCCUGUGUCAAGCACGGGGCUCGCGCCAUGGUGGCGGGGGGCAUAAAGGGAAGCAUAAUUUGCACAGCGAGCGUCGCGGCCAGCACUGGAUUCGAGAAUUGGGU